UGCCUUCAAGGGCACCUACCAGGUAUAGAAGCUAACUGCACGUGAUGGAAAGAGGAGAGAGGAAACAGAAGUUGUCUAUGGUAAGUAACUGUGCCUUCAAAAACACCUCUCUACAAGAUAUAUUAAAUUAUAAAACUGGCUGGUUAGCGUUUGGAUAACAGAAUCCUUUUGAUGUCUUAGUUAAGUAUCAAUGUACUAUGAGCGUUGCAGCCAUAAAUAAUAACAGCGGCUAAAUGGUUAAGUUACAGCCAUAAAUAGUAUCAGCGGCUAAAUGGUUAAGUUACAGCCAUAAAUAGUAUCAGCGGCUAAAUGGUUAAGUUACAGCCAUAAGUGGUAUCAACGGCUAAAUUGUUAAUUCGCCUCCCGCUACACCCAAUAUCUAAGAAAUUAUAAACCAAAGUAUAAGCUUUUAAAUAAUAAAUAAUUCCUGCAAUUGCAGAGUAUUGAGGUAUUUGGAGGGAUCUGAGAAAAACCCAGACGCGCGUUUCGCCGGUAAGGCGGCUUUUCAAGGGGAUCUUGAAAAAGACCCUUUAGGGGUCGAAACGUCGAUUUAUUUGGAGAUUUUUUUGCACAUGUAAAUUUGCAUGUAAAAUAAAAAUAAGCACAUUUGAAGACCUGUGAGUGCACCUUUUGUUCAUAUUUUUUGUAUGUAUAACGCCAAGGUUUGCACCCAGGCAAGAUUUAGCUGAGAUACUCAGUAAAGGGUGAGUGCCAAGCUCUAUCUCUUUUUAUAUAUAUAUACAUACAAUACACAUGAUCCACCGCACUCACCUAUCCACUAAACAGCAACUUCAAUGUUGAAAGAUUGUAUUUGUUUUUUUUAAAACACCUAAUCUAGGCAAAAAUAAUGGGGGUUUAGUUACAUUAUAUGAUCAUACAGUGCAUAAGCCUGCCACAACGUCAAU